UACGUAGGUGGCAAGCGUUGUUCGGAAUUAUUGGGCGUAAAGGGCGCGUAGGCGGUUUGUUAAGUCGGCUGUGAAAGCCCGGGGCUCAACCCCGGAGGGUCGGCCGAUACUGGCAAGCUAGAGUACAGAAGAGGUAGCUGGAAUUCCCGGUGUAGCGGUGAAAUGCGUAGAUAUCAGGAGGAAUACCUAUGGCGAAAGCAGGUAUCUGGGCCAUCACUGACGCUGAGCUGCGAAAGCUAGGGGAGCAAACAGG
rnacentral:rRNA from 1 species